UCUGGACUUUAGAAAGGUCUGAUGGUGCUGACACCACACAGCAUGGAACACACACAGCAAGGGCCGGGGCAGCCCCCUUAGUCACACACAUCACUGCUCCCACCCUGCGAUUCAGAACAUUCCCGUGAGCUGGAGUGAGCAAAGACUAGCAAGAGUACUAGCUGGCGUCCUGGGGAGGUGUUGAUACCGGUGUUGCCAUCCCCACUGUGCAGAUGGGAAAACUGAGGCACAGAGGAUUAACUACAUGCCUGAGGGAACACAG
rnacentral:lncRNA from 10 species